rnacentral:rRNA from 1 species
UACGGGGGGAGCAAGCGUUGUUCGGAUUUACUGGGCGUAAAGGGCGCGUAGGCGGCGCAACAAGUCACUUGUGAAAUCUCCAGGCUUAACCCGGAGCGGCCAAGUGAUACUGUCGUGCUAGAGUGCGGAAGGGGCUACUGGAAUUCUCGGUGUAGCGGUGAAAUGCGUAGAUAUCGAGAGGAACACCUGCGGCGAAGGCGGGUAGCUGGGCCGACACUGACGCUGAGGCGCGAAAGCCAGGGGAGCGAACGGG